GUUCAGGGUUUUCACCUAUAACUGCAAGCUGAAUUUUGCAAUCUAGUUGCGUAUUUUGAAUUUCAUUUUCUUGUUGCUUGCUGACGAUUUGCUGUUUAUUGAUUAGUUGGUUUUAUGUUGAUUUACAGGUAACUCUUAAUGACACCCACAAAUGGUAACUUUUUAUGUCUCUUGACUGGCUGGAUAUUUUAGAAUUGGACUUCCCAGUUAAAUUCUCACUUUUAGGAAGACAAAUUAAUUUUCUAGUAUUCUAGCAAAUAUUUGUAAUUUUUUCCCCAUUACAGAAGUCGAUAGCUAAAUUAACCCAAGUUAUCUGUUCACAUAAGACCUGGUUGGAACUUUCUUCAUUCCAAAGUAAGGUGGUCUCCUGCCUAUGUUAACUUUUAGCUGAAGUAGGUUGGAUACAGUGUAGACAUAUUUUUUAUUUUGAGGAAUGGCUGUGCUAUAUACUCUGUGCUUUCUGUUCACGAACCAAGUAAAAAUGAAGUGAGUAGUAAUUUGCUGCUUAUCUUCUACUAUCAGGAGUAAAAUGAUUGGAUGUGUAGAGACUCUCAGUCCUUUCUUUACCUUGUCCUUGCACUGAAGCAUUUACACUAUGUGAAAAAGUAAAAUACGUUGUCUGACUCAUCUAGGUUACAAAGAAGCCUCAAAAUAGUACUACAGUUCUCUUGCUUUCAUCUUGCAUUCUUUUAACUAUUUUAAAUUCAGUACAAUGGAAAAAAAUCAGCAAAGGACUUAAGAGCACUUGGUGUGAAUAACUUAAUGCAGAUCUGAAAAACAAUCGAAGGUUAAAACUCAAUUGACUCUGACUGUGGUCCAUAUACAAACUAUUGAACUCAAGCUGAAUUCUCAUGCGAGUAUUAAAUUGCAGCACAGCCUUGAAUUGACCCUUUAGGAAGGAAACAAUGCAUAUAAUAGUGUGUUUGAUACCAAGAAGGCACUACAUAUAAGCAUGCAAGCAUUUGAACUUCAUGAAGGAAAAGAAAGCAGGAAAGAUAAAGGCAGUCAAAAAGGUGAAGAGUGCAUCUAAGAGAAGAGGAAAAAAAUCACACCACGUAUUGCCAUCUGAUUUAUCUAGAUGGAUGUCAUGCUGCCUGAGAGGAAGAUUCCAGGAUGCGUAAAAGCAUCUUUUUCUAAUAAAACAAAUAUAGGGUGAGUGUUACAGCCUUAAAAGUUUCCGAAUGGAAUCAUGUGUUGGGUCUCUGUAUCCUGUGGUCAUCAGCUACGAGCCACUACUCAUGUCGGGGUCUGACUACAUUGUACUGAUGCAAUCGGACUAUAGCACCAGGUGGGAGGAUCGGUUUUCACUGGAGAAAGAAGAAUGAACUACUCUAAUGCACCAGAACAGUGGAGGGCUGAGCACAACAAAUAAGUAGCUGUCCUUUGAAGAUUUUUUUUCUUCCAGUGAUUAAACUUCCUGCUCAAGUGCUCAUACUAUACUUAUAGUGAAAGCCACUAGCUUGAAACAAUUUUCUAAUUUACAUUGCUUCUUCCUUCCCCACCCUGCCACAGACACUCAAUUUCCAAUGCACUAUUUCAGAAAGGAAAACUUUUAACAGCAAGGCUUAUUUUAUUAUGGAGCUCUAUUAUGCUGUUUAAAAAAAAUCACUAAAACAUAUUCUGGAACAUUCUGUAAUGCUACAUUACUGUUACCUGAUGGUCUCUACUAAAUUUACUGUGACUUCACAUUAACAGUGAUCGCUAAACAUAUAAUUGGUGGAAAAGAAAAUUUUAAAAAAUUCCACGAUAUUGUCAAUUUGUAUUAAAUGCUAAAAGAAGCUUUAUAAAAGCAUUCUCUUGCACUAAUUUUUCAGUACCCUGAUCUAUGUUACAGCAAAAUAAUCCCCUGUGGUUACAGUACUGAGUGAAUACUGGAAAACUGUAUAUUGUUAACAUUAAUUUUAUCUGUUUUCACAUCUCAAUUUGAAAUGCAAGUGUAAAAUCUGAAGUUACAAAGUAAAUAUUUAAUGACUUUUUUUCAUACUGUAACACCCAGGUCUUGCUGGUAAAAUCAGAACUCUAUUUACAUUCUCAUUUAUUGAGAUUUUUCUGUACAAAAACUAUACUAAAAUACUAGCUUUAAUGGUAUAAAUUCAUGCAACUAAACUGGGAAACACACAAAAUAGAAUUCAUACUGGUGCUACCCUAUCUCCUUUUUUAAAAGUUAUAUGUUUUACAGUAGCUUUUCUGCUUCUGCAAAAGUUUGAAGGGCUCCCUAUUUUUCUUCAGAAUCUAGAUUGGCAGCUGCAAGUAUAAGAAAGUUCCUUCUGAAUAUUACUGUUGGUUGGUUGCAGCUGAGAAAAACACAACAAAAAGUGCACAUCCAUCAGCUGCAUGGUUCUGCAGUGUGGCAUUAAGCAAUGCCCCUUUGCCCUGAAAGCACAGGAAAAAGAAAAUGGUGGGGAAAGGUGCUUUAAAAUGCUUUAAAAAUACUGUUGCACAACUUCAGAGCUUCUUUUUGGUUCUUGUUUCCAUCAGAUAUAGAUCAGCUUGUCUGUAGAUUAGAAAAUGCUGCUGCUUUUCAUGAGGAGAAACCAUCAUUCUCCCAAGAUGUGAAGGACAAAUUGCAAUAUUCCAAAGUAUGAAUUUACUGUGAAUAUUUAUUUUCAAAUGAAUAACAUAAGUAAUCCAAACUGCCCUUACCAGUUUGAAAAAGGAAAAAAAGAUGCAGCUGAUGAGUUUGCGAGCACAUGGAGAAAACAGCAGGGCCCUUAUUGAGAACACGUGUGGGUACCGCAGGUGCCAGCAGUAGCAUGGCCAGUAGUGCCACUCCACAACUUGCUGCCCUGCUCAGGAACUGACCCCAGCUACAACACCCUCCCACAACACAACAAGGCAGCUGGGACCAGCUGGAUGAUGGAAGCCAGGGCAGAGAGACAGAAGAUAAUCCUGGCUUGUGGACAUGGAAUUGGCCUUUUGAAGUGUAGGAAGAAAUUCAGCAGAUGCUUCGAUGUGUGUGUCAAACACGUGCUGUGGUCAACAACAAUUGAAGAUGAAAAGUGUAAGGGAAUGUCAUAAUUUGGAAUUAAUUCUAAACAAACAAAAAAACCCCAAAACAAACAUGAAAACAUGAAACAAUUCCUUUCACAAACCUGUUUGUGAUCUUAAUGUAGCAGUAUCUGUUGUAAAAUUAAUACAGUGAGUGAAGAGAUUAAUUGCAUUGUAUUGAUUUCAAUUUCACUGACCUUUUAUGUCCUAAAUUUAAAAAAAAAAAACCAAAACCCUAAACUUUUGAAAUGUUCUCAACUUCUCAGUCUCUUCUCAUGUCUGUAAAUAAAUUUUAUUCUAUUUAUCUCCAAAACCAUUUUUCAUGAAUUAACAACAAACACCGAAGAGAUCUUAAAUUUAUUAGGUGCUUUUAUUGCAACUUCUAUAAGACAAAUAUGUACUCAGAAAAACUGGACCCAGUGUAUCAGACAGGUAAUUUUUUCAUAUUAAUACUUUUAAUAUAUUCAAUAUUUCUAUAAAUUCAGAUAUUUUUUUAGUAUGGAGUUUUAUAGAAGUGUAUCUGCUUGAAAUCACUAAGCAAUUUUUUAA